UGGUGGAGUGAUUUGUCUGGUUAAUUCCGUUAACGAACGAGACCUCGACCUGCUAAAUAGUUGCGCGAGGCCUUCGGGCCUUGCCGUUGACUUCUUAGAGGGACUAUCGGUUUCUAACCGAUGGAAGUUCGAGGCAAUAACA
rnacentral:rRNA from 1 species